rnacentral:rRNA from 1 species
GGGUCCGUGGGAAUAUUGGACAAUGGGCGCAAGCCUGAUCCAGCCAUGCCGCGUGGGUGAAGAAGGCCUUCGGGUUGUAAAGCCCUUUUGUUGGGAAAGAAAUCCUGUCGGUUAAUACCUAGCGGGGAUGACGGUACCCAAAGAAUAAGCACCGGCUGACUUCGUGCCAGCAGCCGCGGUAAUAAAA